rnacentral:rRNA from 1 species
ACCCUGACCAAAACAGACCGCGAACGUGUAAUCUAGCCUACCGGCGGCGGCAUCGUUCGUCGCUCGGCCAAGUCCUCGACACCUCCUCUUCUUGGAGUGGAGGCUCGGGGUAAAAGAACCCACGGCGCCUAAGGCGUCAAGGAACACUGUGCCUAGCUCGGGGACGCGGACGGCUUGCUGGCCGCCCCCCGUGCUGCAAUGCUAUUUAAUCCACACGACUCUCGGCAACGGAUAUCUCGGCUCUUGCAUCGAUGAAGAACGUAGCGAAAUGCGAUACCUGGUGUGAAUUGCAGAAUCCCGCGAACCAUCGAGUCUUUGAACGCAAGUUGCGCCCGAGGCCAUUCGGCCGAGGGCACGCCUGCCUGGGCGUCACACUAAACACGCUCCCACCCCCUCAUCGGGGAGUUGGAUGCGGCAUGUGGCCUCCCGUCGCGCAAGGGGCGGUGGGCCAAAGAUAUGGCUGCCGGCGUAUCGUGCCGGACACAGCGCGUGGUGGGCGACCUCGCUUUACUUACCGCAAUGCAUUC